AGAUAAUGAUUGUGAUACAAAUGUAAGAAAUAGAGGCAUCUCAAAGGCAAAGAUCAGGACCAUCAAACUUCUUUGUGUUGUUGUAUUUGGUAUGAAUUAUUUUUUUUCAUCCUUUUUUUGAAUUAUGUAUACACGACGGUGGCAACUCAUAAAUCUAAAAAUCAAUCAUUUUAAUUUGCAAUAUGUAUUUUUUAUCAUUUAUGAGUUGCCACCAAUACUGGUGUCGCCUAGGCAUUAGUUAGAAAUUAUAUUUAUUUGUUUUUAAGGAAGCUCGAGGGUAUAAGAAUUUCAGAAAAAAAAUCAAACAUUUGUUUUUCAUUACAAAUUUUAUUUAUUUCCUUUUGUAGUUGUUACUUUAUCAUAUGGUACAACAAUCAUUCAAAACAAUCAAUUCGUGUUGGCCCCAGUUGACUUUCAAAAUGUAUACAUCAUUGAAAAAGUUCCAAAUUAUCUCCCUUUGGUGGAAAAUGCCAUUUGUUGGCUCUAAAAUUGAAAUAUCUUUUUCAACUCAUCGGUGACCUAUCUUUUUUGAUAUAAUUUCCAUAUAAGCUGUACUUAAACUAAAUUAUUGUAAAAUUGUAGCGAUUUCUGUAAUAAAUUUCUUUUUUUUAUUUCGAUAUUACCUUUAUUUCUCCUAUUACUUCAACAGAAAAAAACCGCCUUUACAAAAAUGUAUGCUUCUUUCGAAGGCAGAUUGUGAGCGCAAAUGAACGGUGACCCCACUUUUUUAUUUUAUUUUUCUAUUAACUAUAAGAUAAAGUUCAUUUAUAGAAAAAUAUAGAGAAAUCCUAUAUAAAUGAUUUAGACCUGCGAACCCCCUUAAAUGAAAAACUGUUUAUGGAAAUUUCCAUUUUGAGGGGGAGUUAUCUGAAGUACAAAUACUAUAAUUACACUUGUAAACAUGCAUGGUUCACCGGUGUCAACGUGAUGAUCGUAACUGCAAUUACGAUCAUCCCAAUAUGGCGGACGCAAAUUCAGGUAUAUUUUAUAUUGCCAAUUUCUCUCCUUUAACAACUUACUUUCAGAUUUUUAUCAUGUCAAGAAACAUCUAUAUAAGCAUGCUCAUUGAAUAUUCUUCUGUGAAAUGAUGGAAAAUCAACUAGAGAAACGGAAAUCGUGAUACAAAAAAAACCGAUGAUGAUCGUAACUUCUUUUUAUUUUUAUCAACGAUGAUCGUAACUGUCUGUUCCAGCGAGGCAUUUUUUUUAUAAAAACAGUUGUCUGGUAUACGAAAAUGGUACCUAAUCAGCUAUAAUCAGCUGGAAAACUGUGAAAAUAAUAAGGGACGAUCACUGCAGGGGAAGGUAACAUUCUAUUGAUUGUUAUACGGGUAAGUGUACAGAUAAUGGUUCAAAUUUUGUGAGAUUUAGUAAUUUUUAAAUCUAAUUCUAUAUUGAAAGGCCUGGUACAUGUAAUUAACAACUUUGUAUUGUUAUCAUGUAUCUUACAUGUAUAUGGUUUGGUAAAAUUUGAGGUUUUUGUCUGUUGGACAAAUUAUAAAUGUCAUUUUUACUGUGGUGGUGUUUAAACACAAUAUUAUAUAAAUGUGAUACUGUUUUAUUACAUUAUUUUUUUAAAGUAUUGAUACUUAAUUGCAGUGAAUGCUAUAAAACAAAUUGGUGCAUCCCCACACAAAAAAAGCCUGUUCUCUCUUUUUUUUCUGCAACACACACAUACCCUUUGUAGGGUCAGUAGAACCGUAAAGCUUCAAGUUCCUGCUAAAUUUGGGGAAUUCGGAAUUUAUAGUUUUCAUUAACAGAUACAGUAGUUUUCAAGGGAAAAUAUAGCAUUAAGAAGCGUAAUCAUAUGUGUUGAAUAGAAAUAUAUAUAAUUUUAAAUUAAAAAUAAAAUAUUUAUUGAGAUUUUGUGGCCAAAAAACUUCUUCGACUUACUUUAAUAAUAGGUGUCAGAUAUUCAUAAAUGAUAAGAUUUAUCUUGUGUGUACUGUGUGAACCUGAAACUUUUAUUGGAUCAUCCUUGUUUUUCUUUCUUGUUUUUGUCUUUAUCACAGAGUAAAAGUAGAAAAAUAAAGAAUUAUAUCCAAUAUAUCGUGACCGCUAAAUAUAAUGAUUUAUUUACGAAGAAACGGAUUGUGAAUUUUGAUUUACGAUCAUCUUUAUAUUACAACAAGUCCAAGUUACGAUCAUCACUAGACGCAGUUACGAUCAUCAUCGUGUUUUUUUGUAUCAAGAUUUUCGUUCUACUCUUUGCUUUUCCGUCAUUUAGGAAAAAACAUCCAAUUGUAAUGCUUAUAAAGAAUUUGAUUGACACAAUAAGUAUCCGAAAGUAAGUUGUUAAAGUGGAGAAAUUGGCAAUAUAAAAUUUACCUGAAUUUUCGUCCGCCAUAUUGGGAUGAUCGUAACUGCAGUUUCGAUCAUCACGUUGACGCCAGUGAUGCUUUAGGUUUGUUAUUGUCUGUUUCAGAAAAUAACGACAUACAAUGUACAAUGUUGUGUUGUGGGAUCAUUCGUUAAGCAUACUGUUUGUUUUCUACAAUACUGAUAUCCUUGAAAAUGUGUUAUUAUUUAAAUAAACUGUAUAAUGACUGAUCCCGUAUAUCAUUCCUCUUUCACCUUCUAGGAUCAAAACAAAAAACCAAGAACAUUACAAAUGUCUGCUCUUUUCCAUUUAAGGCCAUGUGCUGUAUAUAUACUUUUUUAGAAAUGCAACCAAAAAUCAGUAUUUCACAAAAUAUAUACAUAAACAAAUAUGUAUAUCAAAUAGAAAGAAUAUAACUAUUUUUUUUUCUAUUUUGCCAGAACAAGUGUCUAUUGAAAUUACAAUAAAUACAAUGAAACAAAAGACGAUUUCAAACUUUAAGCUUGAGAAAAAUACCUGUGUAUACCUUGGUCCUCAAUGUUAAUAACAAAAAACUAUAUUCUAAACGAGUUUCUGCUACAACAUGAAUAGCAAAAUGUCGACUACACGGAGAAAAAAACAAAGCAUUUAUGAAUCGAAAAAAUAGAUGCGAUAAAUCAAAAGACUAAAGAUAAACAAAACAUGUAUACCUUUAUUGUGUAUACACAAGGCGACAUUACAUAAUAUACGACCUUGAACAAUGCAUACAUAUAUAACUAGCUUUAAAUCAUUAGUCUAACAAACAAUUCCAUUAAACCGUAUAAUGAAAUAACAUGAGCUAACAAACUGGUGCAAAACAUUUAUCCUCCUGCGAGCUAUACUGUAUUUAUAUCUAUUUCUAAUACAAAAACUGCAUUUAUAAGUAUCAUGAUUCUGAUACAUAUGUAUAUAUUCAUGAAGAAGUCUACUUAAUAUGACUUCAAUUAAUAAUAAUAUCAUUUCACAAAUAUUUUUACAGCAUACAUUAUUUGCUGGGCUCCAAUUACAAUCGCAGCAGUCAUAACACACCAUAGAAUAGCAGAAAAUGGAUUUUGGUUUCAAAUACUCUUUUUACUUGCUCCGGUUAACAGCCUGGCUAAUCCUUUAGUGUUUCUUAUUUUCAACCAGAAAAUGUUCCGGUCUAAGACGAAUAAGACGAAGAAAAAAAUAUUUUGUGGAAUAACUUUUAAAACCGAAACAAAAACAUUAUCAUUGACUAGCUAAAUUUAUUUUGUAUGCAUUAUUUCUCUAUAUACAGAUGAUCUGAUGGUGCAUUUCGUUAUCCAUGUAAAGAUUAUGAUAAGAAAAAAAUAUGGCUUAUAGUUGUUUGAGCAUUUUUAGGUAGAUAAACUCAUCAUAAAUACCAGGCUUAACAUUGUGUACGCGGGCGUACGAUUAGAAGACAAAAGACACCUCAGUUUAGCUAAAACAAACAAGGAAAGAAAUUCAGGCCCAAGACCGACGGAAGAUUCAUCAACAAACAGCAACGAUACAAUUACAAGAAUAUUGUGGUGAAGUGAUUAACGCAUCGGACUACCAUCACAAAGGUUCUGAAUCAUGUUAAUCCGAUCCCCGUUUCGGGUAGACAAUUUUUGGGAUUUAAUUUUCGGCUUUUCAUUAAUACCAUUUGCAAAUAUGGUCUUCAGAAAUGAUGAAAAAUUGUCGGAAGUUGAUGAUAAAUGACUUACUCAUGUUAGGAGAGAGCAAUGUAUCACAGAAAAGUCAACCUUGUAGAUUUCACAUAAGAGUAUGUUAAUGCUGCAACACGGCAGCAUUUGCAUCCGCAACGGUGACAGGGUUUAAUAGAAGUUGUUAUAUCUGUUUUCCCAAUACACUAUACAUAAAUAUGUUUAAAC
rnacentral:lncRNA from 1 species